AAAUAAGAAGUAAAAAUUUUACAAUUAGUUUCGACCUAAUCUUUUGGCUUUUUAGCCCUUAUUUAACUU
rnacentral:tRNA from 1 species